UGCUCGCUAUGGGGCAGCCUCUGGGCUCUAUAGGGUGCUAUGGGGCGCUAUGGGGUGCCAUGGGGCUCUAUGGGGCAGGCUAUGGGGCACUAUAGGGCAGCUGUGGGGCAGCUGUGGGGCAGCACCCACCCCACAAGGCAGCACAACACUGGGGCACACGCCCAGCUGCUCGCUAUGGGGCAGCCUCAGGGCUCUGUGGGGCUCUAUAGGGCGCCAUGGGGAGCUAUGGGGCGCUAUGGGGCAGCCGUGGGGCAGGCUAUGGGGCAGACCUGCAGGGCACAGAGCCGACGAUGACGGGCGUGCGGUCGGGCCCCUCAGGGCGCCAUGGGGCAGCCUCAGAGCUCUAUGGGGCAGGCUAUGGGGCGCUAUGGGGCAGCCAUGGGGCAUCUGUGGGGUGCUAUGGGGCAGCUACGAGGCAGCACAACACCAGAACGCAUCCCCCAGGUGCUUGCUAUGGGGCAGCCUCUGGGCUCUAUACGGUGCUAUGGGGCGCUAUGGGGCGCCAUGGGGCUCUAUGGGGCAGGCUACGGGGCGCUGUAGGGCAUCUGUGGGGCAGCCAUGGGGCAGGGCCACCCCACGAGGCAGCACACCACCGGAACGCAUCCCCCAGGCCUUGCUGUGGGGCAGCCUCCGGGCUCUAUAGGACGCCAUGGGGCGCUAUGGGGCGCUAUGGGGCGCUGUGGGGCGCUAUGGGGCAGGCUAUGGGGUGCUAUGGGGCAGACCUGCA
rnacentral:lncRNA from 1 species